AGCAAUAAGGGUACAAUGAAAUAUGUCCUCUAUUUGGGCACUUAGGACAUAUGGAGUGAGUAGUGCAACCGACCCUUUCAAAU
rnacentral:ncRNA from 2 species